GGCGGACGGGUGAGUAAUGCUUAGGAAUCUGCCCAGUAGUGGGGGAUAGCCCGGGGAAACCCGGAUUAAUACCGCAUACGUCCUACGGGAGAAAGCAGGGGAUCUUCGGACCUUGCGCUAUUGGAUGAGCCUAAGUCGGAUUAGCUAGUUGGUGGGGUAAAGGCCUACCAAGGCGACGAUCCGUAGCUGGUCUGAGAGGAUGAUCAGCCACAUCGGGACUGAGACACGGCCCGAACUCCUACGGGAGGCAGCAGUGGGGAAUAUUGGACAAUGGGGGCAACCCUGAUCCAGCCAUGCCGCGUGUGUGAAGAAGGCUUUCGGGUUGUAAAGCACUUUCAGUAGGGAGGAAAACCUUAUGGCUAAUACCCAUGAGGCUUGACGUUACCUACAGAAGAAGCACCGGCUAACUCCGUGCCAGCAGCCGCGGUAAUACGGAGGGUGCAAGCGUUAAUCGAAUUACUGGGCGUAAAGCGCGCGUAGGUGGUUUGGUAAGCGAGAUGUGAAAGCCCCGGGCUUAACCUGGGAACGGCAUUUCGAACUGUCAGACUAGAGUGUGGUAGAGGGUAGUGGAAUUUCCUGUGUAGCGGUGAAAUGCGUAGAUAUAGGAAGGAACACCAGUGGCGAAGGCGGCUAC
rnacentral:rRNA from 1 species